UACGUAGGGUGCGAGCGUUGUCCGGAAUUACUGGGCGUAAAGCGUGCGCAGGCGGUCUUUUAAGUCAGAUGUGAAAUCCCCGGGCUUAACCUGGGAACUGCGUUUGAAACUGGAAGGCUUGAGUGUGGCAGAGGGGGGUGGAAUUCCACGUGUAGCAGUGAAAUGCGUAGAGAUGUGGAGGAACACCGAUGGCGAAGGCAGCCCCCUGGGCUAACACUGACGCUCAUGCACGAAAGCGUGGGGAGCAAACAGG
rnacentral:rRNA from 1 species